AAAUUUGUUUUAAGAUGGCUAAUUCUAAGGCAUCCGGAGGGUCGCGUUUGUUUGGUACUGUCUCCCCUUCCACUCUUUUCCCGUCUUUGUUCUCACCCCCCAUUCUCCUUUACCUGUGCCUUCUCCUCUGUUGAUGAGAUGCUAAGUUCAGUCUUCCGGCCCCUGAAGAGUUUCUGCAGAGCCUGGCAGGCCUCUCCUUAUUUGUUCUUUCCUUCAGAGGGAGUGUCUGUCCGUCGGGAGUUUUGUUCUAGAACUCUGCUUGGUAUUUGGAUAAUUGCUCACUACUAGCAGACUGGGCUUCACUUUUUAAAAAUGUUAUUUUUAUUUUUCAUUUUUUUGCUAGACUGUUGCCAACAGUUAGGAAUAGUUUUUCUUGAGACUAGUAUUGGUGCUUUCUGGAUUAGGACAAAGAAGAUUCCAUUCACAAAUCAUUGCUUUGCCUGACAUCCACACCGCCUUGUGAAGAAUAACCAUCUGUUUUUCAACACUUGAAAUUUUGUUGGAUUGUUAUUAUUUUUUCUUUCUGUUUGUGGUUAGAGAGAUCUGUGGGAUUUACUGUGGAUACAAACCAAGGUUUUUUUUUUUUGAGAUAAAAUCCAGAUAAAUUUUUCAUGAGCUUCUGGGUGAUACUAAGCUGAGCACUAAGGGCAUUUGUAAUAUUUUUCAUGUGAUAUUUCUCAUAAUAGGAAUGGAUAAACCAAGCGUACCACAGUUCAUCUGUUACAGAAUCUUUCUGAGUUGUGGUUUGGGAAUAAAACUUUAAUUUUAAAACCUGUUUUUAGCUUUUCAACAAAAUUAAGGAUUAGUCAGAAUUAAUUUCAAGCUAUCAGUGACUUCAUCGGAGAGAUUUGAAUUUACAGGACUCUCAUAGGUUGGAAUGAAAUGAGAGCAUAGUACUUCGGUAGGUGUGCCUUAGUAAUAGUUAGAAGUGAACUUUAUAUGCCCCAGUACAGGGGAACGCCAGGGCCAAAAAGGGGGAGUGGGUAGGUAGGGGAGUGGGGGGGGUGGGUAUAGGGGACUUUUGGGAUAGCAUUGGAAAUGUAAAUGAGGAAAAUACCUAAUAAAAAAUUGAAAAAAAAAAAAGAAGUGAACUUUUAUUAGAGGGUGAGGGAGUCAACCUGGAAAACUAUUCUUUGCUUCCUAAAUAUGGAUUAGGUUGACCAAUUUUGGGUAUGCUUAGAAGACGCUUGUGUCUCUUUAGCUAAGCACUGACCAAAGAAGAACUAAAUCAAAAACCAGUGACUACAUUUCUCUCUCUCUCUCUCUCUCUCUCUCUCUCUCUCUUUCUCCUUCUCUCUCUCUCUCUCUUUCUCUCGAUACUUGCUCUUUUUAUUUUAUGUUUGUGGGAGUUUUCCUACAUGUAUGUCUAUAUGACAUGUAUGUGUAAUGGUGGUGCUGAGGAGGGUGAAGCAGACCUGUUGGAACUUGUGUUAUUGACAUCUCUGAGCCACCAAGUGUGUACUGGAGGCGAAUACAGGCCUUGUAAAAGAAUAGACAGCGCCCUUAAUCACAGACCCAAGUUCUUCAGCUCAAAGAAGCCUUUCUCGGUACUAGCCCAGGAUUUUGUUGAUAAAAUCCAUGUCUUAAUUUUCAUGUUUUAAAAUUUGGACCCCAGAUGUUUUUGUUUUGUUUUGUUGCCAACAAUGUACAAAGUAUGUGCCAAUAAUCUUGUUUUGUGUUUUCCUGAGCACAGGCAUAUGAUAUGCUAAUCUUUUUUAAAGCUUGAUUCACUUCACUGCUCUGAGAUUUCCUACAGAAACAUAACUGAAUGAAAAGUGUGUGGUUCAGAAAGCAGUUGAAUUUUGCCUGGUCUCUACCUGUAAGCGAAGGACAACAAUUUUUUUUUGGCCUUUCAAUGGAUAUUAUUAUCUGCCUGUUUCUGAUCAUAAAGUAUCUGAGGUGGUAAUGGGAAUUCUAGCAGGCUCCUCAAAAGGAGCCAUAACCUUCUUCCUUAGAGUUAAAGAUAAUGACCUGGGACUUUGGGCUGCUGCAUUCCUGUUAAUUACCAAGACCGUUGGGUUGGAAAUGACAAGAGUUUCUUUGUUUGGUUUUGUUUUUUGUUUUUAUUUUAUUUUGGCAUUCUAAUGCAGGAAAAUCUGUUAUUCUGGAAGUUUUCAUCCUCAUCAUUUUGUUUUUUUCAUUGUGAGAGGGUAUGUGAAGUAGAUUUGACAGAUUAAUAGACAAUAGAAUGAAAACCAGGGCAGAAAGAACCAGGUAGCUCUGACACACACACACACACACACACACACACAUUUGUUGCAUUCUGCUCUUUUACCUAUAGACUUAUAGGCUUCCUCUAUUUUUUUCUUUAUGUACAGCUUGGAGGCUUAUCAGUCCUGAUAAACUAAUGUUUUAACUAGCAAGUUAAUCAAUAUUUCUUAUCUUUGGCCAAAUGUCCUAGGUGCUGAGUGUAUACUUAUAAGAAAACAAAUAUACAAGUUAGGUGGGUUACUGUGGACAUUAAUUGCUUUAAAAGAACAUCCACAUAAUUAUAAACUAUGAAGAAAGCAAAAGAAAAAUACAAAUAUGUAGGUCUGGAAGAAUUAGUCCUGUUUGGAAGAAAGGGCUUCCAUGUCUUGAAGUGGGUUGUGGGAAGACCAUUCAGGGAGAGGAAGGGUAGUCUUAUUAGCGAUGCAAUCGGCCUCUGGGUUUUCCAUUUCCUCUAGACUAUUAGGGACCACUUCUUUGUAGCUGACUACAAGGGGGAGGAUUUGAAGGGAAAGCAAGGAUCACAGGCCUCUUCCUGCGCUUAGUGUAAAUCGCCUGUGCUUUCUGGGAGCUUCGUAGAUGAAAAUCAACUCUUCAUUUCUAGCAGGCAACUUUUGUAUUCAUUAAGGCAAGGUCUGCAAUAUUUUUUAACCAUCCUUUAAACACUAUGAAGCAUUAAGAUGAAGGAAAAAAAGAAGCUUGCAAAAUAUGCAUGUAGGCGUUGGUAUAUUUAUAUAGUAUCUUAACUAGUCUAGUAUUUAUGUGAUUUUUUUCCCUCAGUGUCAUACAUAAUUUAUGAUGUGAGACCCAGAGGUCUGUGACUAUAAAACCUACUAUUUUCAGAGAAGUUAUAUAUUGUAAGGAAAUAUUUUCAAUAUAUACCAAAGUAGAGGAAAUAAGAGGAUCUAUAGUGGGUUUUUUUGCUAUUAUUUUGGAAGAAAAAAGGUAGUCAUUCCAAUUUAUGCACAAGGAGAUUGAACUUGCCAGUUUCUCACUGGACACUCAAGUCAACUUCUUUUUUUGGGGGGGUGGGGGUUGAUAAAGGUGUGAGUAUAAUCUGGGUGUGGUGACACAGACUUUUGAUUCCAGCACUUCAGAGGCAGAGGCAGAUGGAUCUCUGGAUUCAAGGCCAGCCUGGUCAACUGAGUGAUUUCCGGGUCAGCCAGGAUACAUAGAGAAAACUUUGCCUUAUAAAAUGAAAGAAUGCAAGCAAAUGAGCAAAAACUGUUCAUAUGAAAGUCUUACCAAAUGAGCCAAUCACAGAACCGUAUAUAUAACCAUGUACUUAGUAAAUAUGUCACACUUAGGAAAUUCCUCCCAUAUGACAGGUUGUAAAUUCCUAACAACAAAAACCAAAGAUAAUUUACGUCUCCAACUAUGUUGAGUGAAUGAACAAAGUAUUUUAUAUCUAUGCGGUAGAAUUUAUCCAGUAGUGAAAAGAAAUGAACUACCAGUGCAUGUGGCCACAUGGACAGACAUGUGUGGAAAACAUCAUUAGGAUGUUCAAAGCUAGAACUGGUAUGUUCUUCUAAGUUCUUCACAGUACCUCCCAUAUUUCUAGGUGAAGUUAUAUGUUAAGUACUUAUUAGAGGCUGCUAUUUGGAUUUAGGACUGGCUUGUUAUUUGGCUGAUUCGGGUAUAGACUUGGAACUAUUAAUACAUUCAAAGGAUAAAGAUCCAGCUUAUAUCCCCAUGAUAAUUUGGGUUUGUAAAUUAAACUGACCCAUGCUAAAUUAAAAUUGCUUUGUUCUUACAGUUCACUUUUCUGCUGAAAUCCUGUAAUUUCCAUCCUUACAACCUGUUUACCUGAUUCUAUUUUAAUUUGGUAUGUAUAAUAUUUGAUAUUAGCUUUCAUAUUCAUAAAUGGAUCCACUCUCUCGCUGGCUGCUGCUAUGUGCCCACAGAAGGAGCACAUGGAAACCAAUUUUUGUGAUUAGCACAUUCUUUUACAUAUCUUGAUAGAACAGAAAAACCUUAGUUCUUCUCAAAUUAUUACAGAUUUGUAGAACGAACAAAAUUGUGUUUAAAAAAAAGUUCUGAAUACACUCUGAUGAAGUAAUUAUGCAGAUGUGUUCCACAGAAGGCAGUAGAUUAGGAGGACGGAAGCUGGUGCUUCGGCCCUGCAUCUUAGCAGCUGUUAACCUUAGUGUUCAAAGGAGUAACCCUGGAACCUUUUGAGGAACACUAACGCUGGCCUCUUCCAGGACGCACUAACUUCACCAGGAAGCUUGUGGAAAACCACCUGCAUUAUGCAGGUAUUAAAUGCAUUUUACCAAUUGAGGGACUUAGACUAUGGACUGUGCACUGGAAUAUGUGACAUAAUGCCUUAUUUGGGGUAUUGGAUUUUAUUUACAAGAGUACUUUUUAGUUCCCUUCUACAGUUCUACAGUUUUAUGUGCUUCCAUUAAAAAGUAAAUCUAGGCUGUUGCUAACGUACCCCCAUGCCUCUGACUUAGCUCAGGUGGUAUCCAAAAGAGUGGAUUCUUCUCUGUUUACAGGUGAUAGAGAAGUGUUCCUUUUUCAUAUGCCGUUUCUUCCUAUUCAUGUCAAAGGCAUUCAUUAAUAGACAUUUAUACAGGUGUAGGACUUGUCAGGGUAUGCCUCUAUUACAAAGAUUUGGUAUGUAAAUUCAGCCAUAAGGUGAAGGUGAAGUAACUUUGGAAAGCAAUGAAAUCCAAAACAAAGUUACCCUUGUUAUCUUAUUUCUGUUAGUUUUCUUGUAGUCUUUUUAGUUUUAUAAAACUGCAAUGUUCUCUGUAAUGUUUAUUGAUAAUCUUUCUCUUUGUAAUAAUGAAACCAUUGGUUAAAAUAGUCAUAACCGUUGGCUCCAUUUCUUUCCCUAUGGUCAUCCAUUCUACCCUUACAAUACUGCUGUGAUGUAGUUCUUUUCAUUUUUUUGGUGAGGAACUGAAGACAGACAUGAAUUAGCUUGCUUAAGAAUGUUGUCAUGAGUAGCAGUACCUGGUUUUGAACCUGGGUAGCUUGACCCUAGUUUGUGUUCCCUUAAUGACUGUGCUCUGCUUUCUACUGGUAUAAGAGUUGCGUGAGAAUUCCAAAAUCAGGUGUCCUUCUUCACUAUCUCAAGCAGCUGAUGAGCAUUCCUUGGCCUUGCCUUGUUUCCUACAGGUUAUGCUUUCGGUUUUGCUGGAUGGUAAGAUUUGUAAGCCAAGCUGUAAAUCUCAUACACAUUUAAAGGUGCUACUAGUAGAUAUAUUUGAGUCUUAGAAACCGACUCCCCAGAGCAAUUCAGUGUCUCCUCAUAGUGACCUGGCUAUGCACAAACUUGGUUUGUUUGUUCAUUUGUAGAAUAGAAGUGUUCUUAGGUGUUCUUACGAUUCUAGGCAAUUUCUUGUGAAAAUUAAUAGUAAUAUCAUUAUCUUUUUCUGAAGCCCCUUUGAACAGAUGAGCCCAACAGUAGACAACCAGGAAGUUACUAUGUACCAUCUCAGUUAAUCAACAUGCUAGCUUCUGUUAUUUCUGCUCUCCAGAUGACCCAGCCAGAGCUAAGAGGAUAAGUGCCCUGCAUGAAGUGGAACAGCGAGAGAACACAGGGCUGAGACCACACGCAAGAAAGACUCUCUGCUCCAAAAGCACCAACUUAGACAUCCAGUUAGUGUCUGCUAAGGCAUUGAUUGAUACCCUACUUUGCCCAAGCUUUGAGGCUCAAUGUUCUGAUCUCCAAAGUGGGAGUGUCUGCUACCAGUACUCGAGGAUCGUUUAAAAGGUAACUGGGCUCUGGAUGUAUCUAUGUAGUGCCUGAAACAGAUGCCAUUCAACCUGAGCAGUGUCAGGUUUAUGUUAGGCAAUGCUAAUUCAUCGGCGGGGUUUUAAAAUGUAUGGCUGUGACAGACAUGGAUACUUGCAUCAUGUGAAGCACUGUCACACAGCAGAUCAGAUUUGGUUUCCUUUGGGCUCCCCUGGGGCUCCCUGCCCCGGCUUCACUGGCACUCCUUCCUGUGGUCCACCCAACAACAAUCGCAGUCAUUCUGAUCCUUGCUUUCUAAGUCAGCUUCUCUUAAAUCUCUUUACUCCAAAAUUAUUUCCAACCUCCCUCCGCAAGGUCCACUAUUAGCUGGCAUCGUAUGUAUUGCUGUUCUGUCUCAGGGAUUUGGGAUGGAAACUUAAGGAUCUGACCUCAUGGGCGUUUAUGGAUUGCCCUGAAUGUUGGGAGUAAGAACACGCUUAAUCAAAGAACCCGCUCAGUCCGUCAGGUUCCCGUCUCUGGAACAUGAGAGGCUAUUUUUUUUCUACACCUAUCUUCAGUACUUCAAAAGAAGAAACAAAAUGGAACAAAACAUUCUCUGGGGUCAGUCAAGUGCACUGCUAACCAAACAACAGAAUUGGGAGAGGCUGACACAGAUGCCUCGGGCCCAACUUUUAAAAGCCAGCUCAGGUUUUUAUUUGUUUCUGCAAUUCUUUCCUGUUACUGUGGUGUGUGUGUGUGUAUGUGUAUGUGUGUAUGUGUGUGUGUAUGGGGAGAGAGAGAGAGAGAGAGAGAGAGAGACUAUGAUUGAUUAAUAUUUUACCCUAAUUAGUUAUGCUAAACCAUAUGCAGAAUUUUCCAGAAGAAACAGCAACUGACCAGAAGCCCAGUGCACUUGGCAGGUUCUCCAGGACUGUAAAGCUCAGCCUGCCAAUUGCCUACUGUUCUCUGAGCACAAGUGUGCUCGCAACCACAUCCACACUGCCACUCGGCACUGCGCUGCUGGGGUUCCUCCGUUCUGUUCUGAUCACCAGAUGUGAGCCUCUAAUACGGGUGGGCUUUAGCAGCAGGGACCUCACGCACGCCUGCUGAGGUUCUCUGGUUUCCAUACUGCAAAGCCUGAGCUCAGGGCUAACUCUGGGGUUUAAGAUGGAUCAGAGUAGCCGAGGCUUCCUUUGACUCUGCAGAAGUUGCUCUUACUCACAAUGAGAUGCUGCUGGUGUCUUUCUCUCAGUUCCCUUUAAAUUCAUUAAAUUGCUGAGCAGAAGAUUUUAUUCCACCCAAUGGUCCAGUUACCAAGGAGAAAAUAGGGAAGUGUCUUUUGUCUUCAGACUUUGAGAGUCAUCUAAAAUGAGCGAUUUAUAAAUGCUUCCACUGUGACCCGUAGUAGAAAGCUGCUGCCUUCGAAUCUUCAGGUACCUGAGUGUUUUCCCUGCAGGCAGAGCCUGUAUAUGAAGAAUAAAUGAUCAUUUAAUGGGUGCUUACUACAUCAGAUCUUUUCUCACAGGGAUAAUUUUCAGUCUAUGUUUCCUUCAGGAGGGCUAUUGAGAUCAAAAUGGGGACUGCAUUUUGUGUUUUAGUUGUAACCUCUAUGAUGAUGUAAUUUCUGUCACUUCCACCCACCUUCUGAACACAAGUUAUUUUUUAUCUACCAUAUGUGGACCCCAUGUGGUUGAGGCUGUGGAGCUCAUGUUAGGCUGCAUGCAAACCAUGCAUCUGCUUAACAAACCACAUUACUCUGUGAAGCCCAUGAGUGCUUGGAAGUGGAUUUGCCAUGCCAGGCUUAUACCUGUCUGUUAUUCCUUAAGAUCCAAGUUUCUAUUUUCAUAAAGGAAACAUUGGAAGCUGAGAGUGGCCCUCCUAAGCAGCAUCCGCUCAGUUCUGACCAGAAUUCUUUCUAUAGUCUAUGGAUUUAUGAAGGUUAGAGCAUUUCUCUGCACACUCGUGGAUACCUAUACUCAUGUAUAUGUAAUAUAUGAAACAUACAUACCCAUAUGCACGUGUGCGUAUUUGAAACAAGUAAUAUAUUACUCUACAAAAAAAA